ACUCCCCCCAGCUCAGGACUUGAAAUCCUACCAAUCCUCACCCUGGAAAUUGCUGCCCUGGAAAGCUCUACCCCAACUAGAGGCGUUGUAAAAUCCCUGGAACUGGGAGGCACGUUUCUCAUCCGAGUGCUCCACGGGGAGAGGUCUACACAAGGACAUCACAGACGUGCCCAGAAUGGCCCUCAGCACUAAAAAGCCACUUCAGCAGGACAGAAGGGAAUAAGUGGGACUCAAGCCUUUUCUUGAUAAUGGAGUUUAUCUACAAGCCUGGAGAUGUGUAUGAUUAAGCACUAUGGGAUGGAUUUUUCCUGGCUCUGAAAGGCUCUGAGCUGCCUGAAGUGCAGAUGUUGGAUGGGGCUGUCUGAGAAAGAGGCCUUGUUGUCUCAGGGCUUUAAUCACUCCCAGCAAGUCUGAAGCCCCACAGAGUCCUCCUCCUCACCUUACCCGGAGCACUGAACGCCUGUACUCACGACACUGCUGUGGAAAUGAGAAAUGGCAACCCGCUUUUCCUUCUCCAAGUCUGCCCUUAAAAAUAUUCUUCCUUAGGAAGAUGCAAUUAAGUAUUAUGGAAAUAAAAAGCUUUUAUUGCGG